GACGAACGCUGGCGGCGUGCUUAACACAUGCAAGUCGAACGGAAAGGCCCUGCUUUUGUGGGGUGCUCGAGUGGCGAACGGGUGAGUAACACGUGAGUAACCUGCCCUUGACUUUGGGAUAACUUCAGGAAACUGGGGCUAAUAACGGAUAGGAGCUCCUGCUGCAUGGUGGGGGUUGGAAAGUUUCGGCGGUUGGGGAUGGACUCGCGGCUUAUCAGCUUGUUGGUGGGGUAGUGGCUUACCAAGGCUUUGACGGGUAGCCGGCCUGAGAGGGUGACCGGCCACAUUGGGACUGAGAUACGGCCCAGACGCCUACGGGAGGCAGCGGUGGGGAAUAUUGCAGAAUGGGCGGAAGCCUGAUGCAGCAACGCCGCGUGCGGGAUGACGGCCUUCGGGUUGUAAACCGCUUUCGCCUGUGACGAAGCGUGAGUGACGGUAAUGGGUAAAGAAGCACCGGCUAACUACGUG
rnacentral:rRNA from 1 species